UACGUAGGGCGCAAGCGUUAUCCGGAAUUAUUGGGCGUAAAGCGCUCGCAGGCGGUUUCUUAAGUCUGAUGUGAAAGCCCACGGCUCAACCGUGGAGGGUCAUUGGAAACUGGGAGACUUGAGUGCAGAAGAGGAGAGUGGAGUUCCACGUGUAGCGGUGAAAUGCGUAGAGAUGUGGAGGAACACCAGUGGCGAAGGCGACUCUCUGGUCUGUAACUGACGCUGAGGAGCGAAAGCGUGGGGAGCAAACAGG
rnacentral:rRNA from 1 species